rnacentral:lncRNA from 1 species
GAUCCAGACCCUGGAGCCAGCGCAAGACAGAACGACUCAGGCGGGAGCUCCUAGGCGGAUGUGGAUACACCAGACAUUUCUUAGGCUUCUUUCCUGCGGGAACUGCUGGUGGUGUAGAUAAAUGUAGCUCUCACUCCUCAUCUAAGAAGCUUCUCUUGGGAGCAAAUGGAAACCAUCACAGAAAACCACAACUGGACACAAUAGAGAGAUCAACAGAUGAUGAGAAGCCUGGCUCCAGUGGAUCCAACGCCAUCAUAGCUCUGCCACUAUGGCUCAAAAAACAUUGGGGAAGAGAGGGAGGAAAGGCUAUAAGAGCUAGAGCACCAGAAAGUCUUCUGUGAAUCCAGUUCUCCUGUAAAUGGCUGCAUGAGCAAGACCACGACAAUGGCAACAUCAGUGGAUGUGUUUAUGUGAAAGGGAGAAAGUAUCACAGGGUCCCAUUCCUAGACAAAGAACUAUGGGUCACAAAUGACUUCUGGGAGAAGGAGAAUUGGCUUCUACUAAGAAUGAACACACUUAUUGCUUUUCCAGUGCAGAGGGGAAAGUGAUAUACAAAUGACUAACCAAAUCAGGUUCUAUCAAGAUACAUAUACACAUACAUAUGUGUGUAUGUUAAUACAUAUAUACACAUAUAAAUAUAAACACAUAUACAUAUAUAUAAAACCUUGGAGAGAGAGAGGGAGAGAGAGAGAGAGAGCAUAAUAGUUAAGGAAAAUAUCAACUUGAGGAAUAAUUGGAGAAGUUGGAGUGGAGGGAGGGUAUCUGGGAGGGUGGCAGGGAGGAAAGAGGAGGUAGAGGUGAUGCAAUACUAUUUUAAUCAAUAAAUAUGUAUUUUAAAAAUAAGACAUUAGCUUUGACCAUGUCUAUGUAUGUAAUUGAGUUAUGUUCUGGCUUUGAGAUAGACUGUAGCAGAUUUUUCUUCUUCUUUUUUUUUAGGUUAGGAAUUAUUUACUGAAUAAAUUGACAGUGGUAACUGUG